UUUAAAGUUACAGGUUUUGUAGGACUCGACUUGACUUGCUUGAUUCUCACCACAGUGACUUGAGACUUGUUUGUGACUUGCACAUGUGUGACUUACUCCCAC